rnacentral:snRNA from 1 species
GUGACCUGCCAAAAUACAUAAUAAAAAAUUGGAACCAUACAGAGAAGAUUAGCAUGGCAUCUGCGCAAGGAUGACACGCAAAUUCAUGUCUGUUACAUUACAUAA